UACGUAGGGGGCGAGCGUUGUCCGGAUUUAUUGGGCGUAAAGAGCUCGUAGGCGGUUUGUUAAGUCUGCUGUGAAAGCCCUGGGCUCAACCUGGGAAUGGCGGUGGAUACUGACAAGCUAGAGUGCGGUAGAGGAGGGUGGAAUUCCCGGUGUAGCGGUGAAAUGCGUAGAGAUCGGGAGGAACAUCAGUGGCGAAGGCGGCCCUCUGGACCAGCACUGACGCUGAGGCACGAAAGCGUGGGGAGCAAACAGG
rnacentral:rRNA from 1 species